AAUCUGCUAUUGUACUGUGACAUAAUUACAGAAGUUUGUUUAUUUAAAUUGUUUGAAAUGCUCAAAUAUUUUCAUUGGAUUUCCUAAGAUUAAAGAAUUGAUGUUGUCAAAUAUUUUGAUUCUUUGUUCAACAUGUGGCUCUGGGGUUUAUUUAUAUUUGAAAGCCUUUGUGUAUGUCUGAUGUGGAAUCAGUCGAAAUUUGAACUGUGAUCACUUACAUUGCCAAAAAUCAUAUCCUAAUCUGGAGUCGAGAUUCUGAUGUUGAUCAUCCAACCAAAGAUACAUUUGAAAAUAAGGGUUCGGAGGUUAGGUUUUUACCGAGAUUCGGGACCUCGACUUCUCUAAAGUACUCUGAUGGGAAGAAUUCAGUCAAGCAUUCGGCGUAAAUAUUGGGGUUUUCACAGCCCUUUGUGUGAUUGUGGGGUUUUGAUUGAAAGUACAGUUCCGCCAUGUCGUCCCCCUAGGCUGGACCGUGUGAUUAAUAACUGCUCGUAUUCGAGGAGGUCGAUUUUGCCUGUAGAGUUCAUCAAAAAGGUUAGAAAGAGAAAUUUGAGGAGAAUAGAACCUAAGGAGGAUGAUGAUGGUGAGCUGGAGAACACUAAGGAUGAAGAAGGCGAUGACUAGGCUUCGGUUUCAAAAUUUGCUGGUAAAAAGAAAGGGAAGGCCAAGAAAGAUGGAAGCAAUAAUGCGUUGAGGGCUUCAAGUUUUGGUUUACUUGGAGAAGGAGAUGAUGAGGAUAAUGAAGAUUCAGGAAUAACAAAGAGAAUGUUGAUUAUGAAAAAUCAGGAUAAUGAAGUAGCAGGUUUUGCACCUUGUGAGAAGCAAAUUACUGAGCUUCCUAAAGUUGGAAAGGACGAGAGAGCACUGAAAGUGGCGAAGAGGAAGUUGGGCACCCACAAGAGAGCAAAGAAGCGUGAAGAGAUGGCAUUUGUUCUCCGGAAUCUGAGGGCUGCUGGACGUGGAGAAAAGAAGUAAACUGCUGCACUUGAUUUCUUAGGAGGGUUUCACGGUUUACAUCAAAUCAGAGAUAAGAUUUGAGUUGUUUAGCCACUUUAUAAACUUAAACUGGAGAUUGUAAUUUUUAUUUGACCGUUUGGAGAAGUUUGUUGAUGAGACUUGUUUUUUAUUGAAGGUUUUGCUAACCGUAUUUUUCUACUUGAUAUUCA